rnacentral:rRNA from 1 species
GACGAACGCUGGCGGCGUGCUUAACACAUGCAAGUCGAACGGAAAGGCCCUGCUUUUGUGGGGUGCUCGAGUGGCGAACGGGUGAGUAACACGUGAGUAACCUGCCCUUGACUUUGGGAUAACUUCAGGAAACUGGGGCUAAUACCGGAUAGGAGCUCCUGCUGCAUGGUGGGGGUCGGAAAGCUUCGGCGGAUGGGGAUGGACUCGCGGCUUAUGAGCUUGUUGGUGGGGUAGUGGCUUACCAAGGCUUUGACGGGUAGCCGGCCUGAGAGGGUGACCGGCAACAGUGUCACUGGGAUGCGAGCCGUAGGGCAACGGGAGGCAGGAGUGAAGAACAGUACAAGAUAGGCGGAGGGCUGAUGGAAGGACGCCGGGUGCGGAAUGACGGCCAUCGGGGUGUAAACCGCGUUCGCCUGUAACGAAGCGUGAGUGACGGUAAUGGGUAAAAAGGCACCGGCAAACUACAU